rnacentral:misc_RNA from 1 species
CCGCCUCUUAGCCCUAACAGUCUGAUACUGCUUGGUGUGUUUGAUUUGUUUGUUUAGUUGUGGUAAGAACUUUGGAGUUUGGUGAAGAGCUGCUACGCACAGCUAACCUGCUGCCACAGAAGCUUCAAGUGGAAAGAAGCAAACAACUUUCAAACUCAUAAGAACUAAUAGCAAACCAUCUAGAAUUCUUAACACAAAUUUAAGCAAUACAAAUUAACCAAGAUCCAAUAACCUUGUGUUGAUCAUUAUGACCAAAAUGAAUGAAGAUUUUACCUUCUCCACUGUAAUCACACGGCCUUCA